UACGUAGGGUGCAAGCGUUGUCCGGAAUUAUUGGGAGUAAAGAGCUCGUAGGCGGUCUGUCGCGUCUGCUGUGAAAACUCGGGGCUUAACCCCGGGCCUGCAGUGGGUACGGGCAGACUAGAGUGCGGUAGGGGAGACUGGAAUUCCUGGUGUAGCGGUGAAAUGCGCAGAUAUCGGGAGGAACACCGGUGGCGAAGGCGGGUCUCUGGGCCGUAACUGACGCUGAGGAGCGAAAGCGUGGGGAGCGAACAGG
rnacentral:rRNA from 1 species